GACGAACCGUGCGAACGUUAUUCGGAUUGAUUGGGCUUAAAGGGCGCGUAGGCGGGCGACCAAGUCUGCGGGUGAAGCCCCGGCUCAACCGGGGAGUGCCCGGGAUACUGGCCGCCUGGAGGUGGGGAGAGGCGUCUGGAACUGCCGGUGGAGCGGUGAAAUGCGUAGAGAGUCGGCAGGAACGUCCGGAGGCGAAGGCGAG
rnacentral:rRNA from 1 species